AUAGGCCUAUUGAAUAAAUCUGCCAGAUUAUUUUUAACAUUGCAUAUGCCUAACAUUAUGUGAUAAUACUAAUCACACUCAUAUUGCCUUUCUCUUUCAGUUCAUGAAGAAAUGGCGCCCAGGAAGGUAGGAUGGAAGCGGAAGGCCCUGCAGGUGUCAAAAGGUGGACCAUCUGCAAAGAUCGCAAUUUUCCACCAGUCACCACUGGUUGGUGGAG